GACGAACGCUGGCGGCGUGCUUAACACAUGCAAGUCGAACGAAGUGGCGAACGGGUGAGUAACGCGUAAUUAACCUGCACUUCAGAGGGGGACAACAGUUGGAAACGACUGCUAAUACCGCAUACUGUAGGAGGGGAUUGCGUCGGAUUGGCUAGUUGGAGGGUUAACGGCCAACCAAGGCGAUGAUCAGUAGGCGGUCUGAGAGGAUGAACGGCCACAUGGGAACGGGGGCACGGCCCAGACUCCUACGGGAGGCAGCAGUGGGGAAUCUUCCGAAAUGGACGAAAGGCUGGCGGAGCAACGCCGCGUGAGUGAUGACGGCCUUCGGGUUGUAAAGCUCUGUUAAUCGGGACGCGGUACCGAAAUAGAAAGCAACGGCUAACUACGUGCCAGCAGCCGCGGUAAUUC
rnacentral:rRNA from 1 species